GUGCUCGCUUUGGUAGCACAUAUACUAAAAUUGGAAAGAUACAGAGAAGAUUAGCAUGGCCUCUGUGCAAAGAUGACAUGCAAACUCAUGAAGCGUUCCUUUUUUUU
ensembl:snRNA U6 U6 spliceosomal RNA